rnacentral:rRNA from 1 species
UACGUAGGUGGCAAGCGUUUGUCCGGAAUUAUUGGGCGUAAAGCGCGCGCAGGCGGUUCUUUAAGUCUGAUGUGAAAGCCCACGGCUCAACCGUGGAGGGUCAUUGGAAACUGGGGGACUUGAGUACAGAAGAGAAGAGUGGAAUUCCACGUGUAGCGGUGAAAUGCGUAGAGAUGUGGAGGAACACCAGUGGCGAAGGCGACUCUUUGGUCUGUAACUGACGCUGAGGCGCGAAAGCGUGGGGAGCAAACAGG